rnacentral:rRNA from 1 species
CCUACGGGUGGCAGCAGUGGGGAAUAUUGGACAAUGGGCGAAAGCCUGAUCCAGCCAUGCCGCGUGUGUGAAGAAGGCCUUCGGGUUGUAAAGCACUUUCAGUGGGGAAGAAAGCCUUGGGGCUAAUACCCUCGAGGAAGGACAUCACCCACAGAAGAAGCACCGGCUAACUCCGUGCCAGCAGCCGCGGUAAUACGGAGGGUGCGAGCGUUAAUCGGAAUUACUGGGCGUAAAGCGCGCGUAGGCGGUCUGAUAAGCCGGUUGUGAAAGCCCCGGGCUCAACCUGGGAACGGCAUCCGGAACUGUCAGGCUAGAGUGCAGGAGAGGAAGGUAGAAUUCCCGGUGUAGCGGUGAAAUGCGUAGAGAUCGGGAGGAAUACCAGUGGCGAAGGCGGCCUUCUGGACUGACACUGACGCUGAGGUGCGAAAGCGUGGGUAGCGAACAGGAUUAGAUACCCUAGUAGUC